UGCAGACUUCAUUUUGGAGGUGCUCAUUCUCGAUGAACAGACGACGAGGAGAUUGAUAGCAACAAAUAGCAUUGCAACAUGACAUAUGUUUUCCAACGACAGCAUCAUAGCAUGACUCCAACUUAUGUAAGAUGCCUAGAGAUGACCCACAAUUUUCAAAUAUCACUUCAAACAUAAGUCAUGUUUUUCAUGCAAAAGUAAAAAGAUAAUUGACUUACACAGCUAAAAAUGCCAAAGGUAAUGUUCGCUGAACC
rnacentral:lncRNA from 1 species